CCGCCGUCCGUCGCGGGGGAGGGCCCGGAAGGAGGCGGCGCGGGCCCGGGGAGGCGUCACCACCCCUCGGGGAUGAAGGAAAGGGUUACCUCCCUCUCAGGGACCAGUGACCGCAGGCGCGGGUGCAGGGGCGCGGUGACAGCCUCCAGCGUGGCGGGCGUGGGUAGUGACCCAUGGGAAGGGCUCGAUGGAAUGAGAGUCCCUCCCCUGGAGGAUGGGGCCAGCAAGAAGAGGGUCCUCUUUCUGGAAGGAGUCACCCCACAAGGGGGCUGAGGUCGGGUAGGGGCUGUUGAUCAUAUAUGCCCUAUCUGACAUGGCGCCCAGGCAGCUUCUCUUCCUGUGUCUCCGUUUCUCGGCGCCAAUUUUCAAUCCCGCUGGCGGAAAACCCAGCCCAAUAAGAACUAAUUUCGUAUGCUUUGGAACUGACAUCUGAAAGAACUUACCAAUAAACAAGCUCCCGUUUAUCUAAGUCCUGCCUCUUAUCCUUAGAGUUAUAUAAGCACAUAGCCUUUUGAAACGAAGUGGAACUUCUCUGGUCAUUUGUCUCCCGAAACCCUGGAGACGGGUGAGCUCGUUUUAACAGAGCCCCAUCUCCGGCUCCAGGAGACAUCUCGUUCACCUUUUCAGGCGCUGGCUCUUUACACCCACCACUGAUCCGGCUUAGUAUCUUCCAGGUGCCAGGUACUGACCAGGAACAGAACAAGCAAAACAUCCUGUCUUCAUGCAGUGCAAAUUCUAGCAGGUGACUGGAACAGUAACCAUCCUGCUCAUGAGGAAGCCAGAAGAGACUACAGAAGAGAAAAUGGAAGAGAUGGACAAAGAGCUGCAGAGGUCUUCUGCCACAAGGUGUUCCACCUCAUUGGUUCUGCUGACUGACCUUGGAAUCUCCAUUUGGUCCACUCCUGCUUCUGGACUGAAGCUCAGCAAGUGACCUCAUCCCCACCAGCUGGGACAGGAACAUUCUAAAAAUGAAGGUUCCCCAAAGCUUUUCCUCCUUUUCUCUCACUGCUGAUCUUUUCGUGACUUGCCAAGAGGAAGAGAAAAAAGACAAGUCCAUUUGGCUGCGUAUUGGGGCAACCCAUUUCAUGAAAUGAGAAAGGCUGAAAUAAAUGUUUAAACCAGA